UUUCAGCCGUGAAAUCAGGAAGCGAAUGUAGAUAGAGAAGAAGACGGCUCCACGGACUGAAGCUUGGGGGACUCCAAAAUGUGACAGUUAGAAAGAUGAAGAGGAACCAGGAAAAGGUACUCAGAUGGAGAUGCCAGUGAGGGAAGGAAGAGGAUCAACAGAAGGGUACAGGACACCAAGAGUAUUGUAUUCAAGAAGGAGUUUGUCAAAUGCUGCAGACACGAACGUAUUCACACCAAGAAAAGUAACUUCAGCAGAACUCUGAUUUCCGGUUUGAAGGAUGUAGAUGAUUUAGCAAUCCUAGAAGUUUUGGAUGAGAAUACAGUCUCAGAACAACUUGAGAAGUGUUAUUCCAGAGAUCAGAUUUAUAUCUAUGUGGGAGAUAUACUCAUUGCUCUUAACCCUUUUCAGAAUCUGGGUCUUUAUUCCACAGAGCAUUCCAAGCUAUAUACUGGAGCAAAGAGAACUGCCAAUCCUCCUCACAUAUUUGCAGUGGCUGACUUGGGAUACCAGUCAAUGGUAACCUACAAUUCAGAUCAGUGCAUUGUUAUUUCUGGAGAAAGUGGUGCUGGAAAGACUGAAAGUGCUCAUCUUUUAGUUCAGCAGCUGACGGUGCUUGGAAAGGUUAAAAAGGAGUUAAUAUAUGGAAAUCAAUUGUAUUUACCUAUAUAAAAGAACUGUUUAAACCUAAAUCUUACAAACUGUGCAAGAUGUCUAUGCUGAAAAGUAGAAAAAGUUGAUAAAAGAAAUAAAAAAGCACCUAAAAAAUGGAAAGAUACAUCAUGUUCAUUGUUUAAAGACUCAUAUAUUAAUUAAUAUGUCAGUUCUCCACAAACUGACCUGUACAGUCAGUGCAGUUAACAAUACAAA